rnacentral:rRNA from 1 species
UGUCGACACGGGACUGCCGGUCUUAAGCCGGAGGAAGUGGGAUGAUGUCAAGUCAGCAUGGCCUUUAUAUCCUGGGCUACACACACGCUACAAUGGUCUGUACAAUGGGUAGCCAAGCCGCGAGGCGGAGCCAAUCCUGAAAGCAGGCCUCAGUUCAGAUUGCAGUCUGCAACUCGACUGCAUGAAGCCGGAGUUGCUAGUAACCGCAGGUCAGCAAUACUGCGGUGAAUACGUUCCCGGGUCUU